GGGUUGUGAGGUUAAGCGACUAAGCGUACACGGUGGAUGCCCUGGCAGUCAGAGGCGAUGAAGGACGUGCUAAUCUGCGAAAAGCGCCGGCGAGGUGAUAUGAACCCUUGACCCGGCGAUGUCCGAAUGGGGAAACCCAGUGCAAUCCGUUGCACUAUCGUUAACUGAAUACAUAGGUUAACGAGGCGAACCGGGGGAACUGAAACAUCUAAGUACCCCGAGGAAAAGAAAUCAACCGAGAUUCCCCCAGUAGCGGCGAGCGAACGGGGAGCAG
rnacentral:rRNA from 1 species